CCUACGGGUGGCAGCAGUGGGGAAUAUUGCACAAUGGGGGAAACCCUGAUGCAGCAACGCCGCGUGAAGGAAGACGGUUUUCGGAUUGUAAACUUCUGUUCUUAGUGAAGAAGCAAGACGGUACCUGACUAAGAAGCCCCGGCUAACUACGUGCCAGCAGCCGCGGUAAUACGUAGGGGGCGAGCGUUAUCCGGAUUCACUGGGUGUAAAGGGAGCGUAGACGGCCAUGCAAGCCAGGGGUGAAAGCCCGGGGCCCAACCCCGGGACUGCCCUUGGAACUGCAUGGCUGGAGUGCGGGAGGGGCAGGCGGAAUUCCUGGUGUAGCGGUGAAAUGCGUAGAUAUCAGGAGGAACACCGGCGGCGAAGGCGGCCUGCUGGACCGCGACUGACGUUGAGGCUCGAAAGCGUGGGGAGCGAACAGGAUUAGAUACCCUUGUAGUC
rnacentral:rRNA from 1 species